rnacentral:rRNA from 1 species
CAAUCUAUACGGUGAAACUGCGAAUGGCUCAUUAAAUCAGUUAUCGUUUAUUUGAUAGUACCUUACUACAUGGAUAACCGUGGUAAUUCUAGAGCUAAUACAUGCUAAAAACCCCGACUUCGGGAGGGGUGUAUUUAUUAGAUAAAAAACCAACGCCCUUCGGGGCUCCUUGGUGAUUCAUGAUAACUUAACGAAUCGCAUGGCCUUGCGCCGGCGAUGGUUCAUUCAAAUUUCUGCCCUAUCAACUUUCGAUGGUAGGAUAGUGGCCUACCAUGGUAUCAACGGGUAACGGGGAAUUAGGGUUCGAUUCCGGAGAGGGAGCCUGAGAAACGGCUACCACAUCCAAGGAAGGCAGCAGGCGCGCAAAUUACCCAAUCCCGACACGGGGAGGUAGUGACAAUAAAUACUGAUACAGGGCUCUUUUGGGUCUUGUAAUUGGAAUGAGUACAAUUUAAAUCCCUUAACGAGGAACAAUUGGAGGGCAAGUCUGGUGCCAGCAGCCGCGGUAAUUCCAGCUCCAAUAGCGUAUAUUAAAGUUGUUGCAGUUAAAAAGCUCGUAGUUGAACCUCGGGCCUGGCUGGCCGGUCCGCCUCACCGCGUGCACUGGUCCGGCCGGGCCUUUCCUCCUGGGGAUCCGCAUGCCCUUCACUGGGUGUGCCGGGGAACCAGGACUUUUACUUUGAAAAAAUUAGAGUGUUCAAAGCAGGCCUUUGCUCGAAUACAUUAGCAUGGAAUAAUAGAAUAGGACGUGUGGUUCUAUUUUGUUGGUUUCUAGGACCGCCG